rnacentral:tRNA from 1 species
UGGGGAGUGGUGUAACGGCAGCACACAGGCCUUUGGAGCCUUGAGGUCGCGGUUCAAAUCCGCGCUCCCCAG